AUUCUUGGAGGUUGGCAUCAAGAGAAGGAAGCAAUGGCAGCAACCGUUCUUCAGGUGCUUAUGGGAGGUGGUGGAUCAUUCUCUGCUGGUGGACCUGGUAAAGGCAUGCAUUCUCGGUUAUGCCAACUGUUCAAUCUGUUCAAAGCUCACAAAGAUCCUAGGCAAAAUCCAAUUGCUUAGUCCUGUAAAAGAUUGAGAAAGAC